CACCAUGUUGAUUACUGUGUCUGCAAGAGCUUACCAGUGUGGAGUGAGUGAUGUGCAGAAGCCGGGAUGACGUUUGCUUUGGUCCCUGUUCUGCCCCUAUUUCUUGUGUAUUUUAUUCCCUUAGCUCUUGAUAGAGUUAGAGACUGUAAAGGGACUUCCAAGGGACACAAAGUGGAGAUUCCACAAUGUUUUGCUAAUGUAUAAGUGUCCCAGGAAACUUCGAAGGCUCACCAUCCAGUUAUAUGAAUCACUACUCUAAUUAGAUUCCAUGGUAUUAUACAAAUCUUUCUAUCUGUUUCUUUCUGUGACAUUUUUAUUGGUGCUUUAUAGUUUUACAUAAUGAUGGGAUCUGUUGCACAUAUUUAUACAUGCACACAAUAUAACUCUAUAAUUUGGCCAAUAUCACUCCCCUAGCACUUUCCUCAUCCUGCCCCCAUCUCCAAGUCUCUCCAUCUUGCAGUCAGUUAAUUAGUCAUAGAACUGUGCUCUGCAUGAAGAAGGUACAAAAUGGAUGAAUAAGAUCCAGAGAAAAAGUUUCUACCAAACUUCCUCCUUUCUUUUUCUGUAGGCAUUAAUGUAACCCAGUAGCCCACUAGUGUAUGCAUAUUGUAGGGGGGAAUAUUGUAUUUGUGGCAAUAGAAUGGGGUUUCUUUUGCAGUUAACUAGGGGAAAUGGUGUUUGCUGGGGGUCUUAAACUGCUAACCUCGUGCUUUACUCCUCCUCCUUCCCUGGCUCCUGCCUCUCCCUCUGCCCUCCAAACCCUAUCAGACCACUAGAAGGGAGGCAAGAGAAAAAGCAGAGAGUCCAGUCCGCCCUUGCUUUUGUGUCUGCCCCCUUCUUUCCUUCAUGCCCAUCCUUCUUUCUUCUCUCUGGAGUGUGUGGACCAUUACUUAUAUUUUAUUCCUACUGCCAAUUAAUUUUUUCUGCUUUCCUUCCUGGAAGACUCAGAUGGACGAUAAAAAGCCAAGGAAACCGAGUUUGACUUCCUUCCCAAUUUUGAAAGCAAAAAAGAAGCAAAAUUUCACCUCUGUGAAGGUAAGGAUUCAUGAAUUUCAACUAGUGACAA
rnacentral:lncRNA from 1 species